GGGAGAAUCAAUUAACUCUAGAUCCACCUGAGCCAAACCAUGGACAAGUUUAUUUCCAUUUCUAGGAACAAAAGACCAGGAGCAACUUUUUCAUCUGUUGCUGAAGACAAUAACAAUCUGAAAGCAUGGUACCAAGAAUGCCCCGGAUAGAGGACCCUACUUGCAACAAAUCCAUUGGAUACUUGAAAUCCGAUUCUGCGACCACCCAGAAAAAAUGAGAGAUCAAGAGCCAGCUGCUAACCUUAUACUAAUGCUGCUGUUUCAGCUACAUACGAAGACCACUGACCAACUGUGCGCCGAGAUGCACAAGUAAGAAUACGACCCUCAAAAUCUCUAAAAAUGACCCCCAAACCAACAAAACCAUCUCUUUGACAGGCCGCAUCUGUAUUCAUUUUAACUAUCCCCGCUGAAGGUGCACUCCAACCAACUGUUGCCGA
rnacentral:misc_RNA from 1 species